rnacentral:rRNA from 1 species
GUCCACGCCGUAAACGAUGAGAACUAGGUGUUGGGGAAUAACUCAGUGCCGCAGUUAACGCAAUAAGUUCUCCGCCUGGGGAGUAUGCACGCAAGUGUGAAACUCAAAGGAAUUGACGGGGGCCCGCACAAGCGGUGGAGUAUGUGGUUUAAUUCGAAGCAACGCGAAGAACCUUACCAGGCCUUGACAUCCCUUGCAGAGGUAUAGAGAUAUAUCCGAGGUUAUCAAGGAGACAGGUGGUGCAUGGUUGUCGU